rnacentral:rRNA from 1 species
UACGUAGGGGGCAAGCGUUGUCCGGAUUUAUUGGGCGUAAAGAGCGUGUAGGCGGCCAGGUAGGUCAGCUGUGAAAACUCGAGGCUUAACCUCGAGACGCCGGCUGAAACCCUCUGGCUAGAGUCCGGAAGAGGAGAGCGGAAUUCCUGGUGUAGCGGUGAAAUGCGCAGAUAUCAGGAGGAACACCGGUGGCGAAGGCGGGUCUCUGGGCCGAUACUGACGCUGAGGAGCGAAAGCGUGGGGAGCGAACAGG